UUCAGUGUGGGAGAAGUCAAUACGACAGAUUGGCUUCGAGAGUGUUAUCGGCGCAGACGCAGGCAAUGGUAUCCGAGUUUUCCUGCCGGACAUUGGGAUGUUCAUGGCCGGUCUGUCCGUGUGGCUGCUGUGCAGAAAGCUGGUCCACAAGCGUCCCAGUGAAGAAAUGGCCCAGGACAACCAUGACUUUGAGGCCGAGGACAAGGAGGAGAAUAACGAGAAAGUGGAAGAUGAUGAUGGUGAUGACGAGAUGCUCUAUGACGAGGAC